rnacentral:lncRNA from 1 species
UGCUUCUAUAACGCAUGGUGGUUGUUUUCCUCCUUUGUGAAAUGAACGCCAAAAAGAAGCACUCUUUAUCAUCUGAGGUACAUUGUGCUCAUUUGUCGACUGUCAAGAGUUGUCUCCAUAAACUACAUCCUGUUAAUUUCUAAAAGCCACGGAUCUUAUGAUCCAAAUUCUCUGUUGAAUGCAGCCAUGUAGUGGUUGUCACUAUGACCGUAAUCUGUUAUGACUAUUUAGUUCUAUACAGUUCAGAACAACAUUUUUCAAGGCUACCUGUCAGUUCCUGUAGGAUUGUACUGGUGCUUGCAGCAGACAUAAUCUUUCCUACUCUUGUGUUUCCCUCUCCCUGACAAGGGCUGAGUGAGUUUCAGCAGCUUAGCUGCACUCCCUUGCCUAGGAGGGCCUUAGUGAAUUCCACUUCCUGGUUGGCAGAGGCCAAAUAAAGAACCAGGAGGAAGGCAGGAAAUACCACCUAAAUAAUCUUGUAGAUCAGAGCUUUACAAACUGUGUCAUGACACAUUGUCAUCUGCAGUGUGUAGGUGUGCCCGGGGCUGGGAAGGGGUUAAUUUAACCUGCGGUUUGUUAGUAAAACUGAAUUACUGUGUCGUGAAAUGAUCCGUAUCUAAAACGUGUGUUACCAGCAGGAAAAGUUUGGAAACCUCUGCUGUAGAGACAUUUCUUUUCUAUUUAAAAAUUACAAGAGUUUCCAAUGAUCUAGUGAAAUUUAUGUUGGAAGCAGAACUGUACAGAUGCUAUGGGCCUAACGAUGAAUCGUAUGGGACAUUAUGAAUGAUUAUUAGAUGACAGUCAACAUCAUGUAAGUUUUUAAUUAUUUGCAUGAUUUUAUUACUAUGCAAAUAAAGAGCACUCCCAGACAGAAAGUGCUGGCACAACAUAAAAUAUUUUUGUAUGUAUUGUGAGGCUCCACUCAAAUUCCUCUCCUCUUUUCCUCUUUCAUUUGUUCAUUUUUGAAUGGUGCUAAUUUCCUAAUGUCUUGCGUAUACUUUGCAACGAGGAAAAACAUGAUUGGUUAAAUGUUCUGGAAACUGAUGCAUAUUUGGGAUGGUUCUUUUUCUGAUGCCAGACUUAAAUGUUGUUUUUUAAAGCAUAUUUUGUAAGCCACUUUGGGAAUGGUUAUAAAACAGAAUAUGAUAAAUAAUACCCACUCACACCAUGUGGGGAGCCACUUACACAAAAUUGCCACAAGAUGCUCCGCUCAUGUGGUUGAACUACAGUACAAGCUGCUGCCCUUGCAGCCUGCUGCAUAUAUAAAUUGGGCCACUAAAUAGGUAACAGUUAAAUUUCCAUUAACCAUAUAUUUACAAAAACUGCUUCCUGGUUUUGCUACCAGUUGGUAACGUUAGCAUGCAGAUUUGCAGCAAGUGACAAUUUCUCUCUGCUUUAUUCCACAAUGUUUAGCCUUCAUAAAAUAUUUGGUGUUAAAAUUUUAUCUGUCCUGUCAUCCUAAAAUCCCUCAUGGGUUUUAAAUAAUCCAUUUUGUCACUGCUUAGUAGGGAUACUGUUACAGUCAGUGUAACUAGAGGAAAUAUAAUGUCAAGAAAGAGUGUGAUUCAUAGUGGUCAACUUACAGAUUUGAAAAUAAGGGACCAGCAGCCUUGAAAAUAAGGGACCAGCAGCCAAAAUAAGGGACCUGCAGGCUCACCUGUUCCAGGCACUCCAGUCUUCCUGUCCUCCUACAGUCUGGUCAAACUCAUGCUGGUAGCUUCGAGAACACUGUCCAACCAACUUUGUAACCAGAGGUUCAACUGAAUAGAAUCUGAAUCACAUGCACCACAAGGCCCAUGCAGCCUCAACUUACGAUGGCUCCCCGGCCUGGCUUUGCACUGCAAAGUUUGCAGCAGCACAUGCAACAAAAUGGCGUCCAGCAUUCAAAACCCCCCUCAGCUUGCAUUAACUAGCCACACACAAGGCAUUCAAGCUCCACCCCGCAGUCGUUCUUAGACUUCUUAUUGGGUGAGCAACACAGCCAAGCAACACAGUUGGAGCCUCCCUCCUCCCUGGCCGGCAGGGAGGGAGGGAGAGGAGCUGCUUUCUUUGAAAUUUAAGGGACAUUAUUUAAGGGACAUUUAAGGGACAUCCAUCAAUAAGGGACAGCAGCGGGACAUGGCGCUGAAAUAAGGGACUGUCCCUUCAAAUAAGGGACACUUGACAGCUAUGGUGUGAUUGUAUGCACACUGGUGCACAGACAUAAAGUAGUGCUUCCUGGGAGUUGUAUAUGGGAUGAAGGGUUGCUGUACUCCUUAAAUCAUUUAAAUCAGGAACAAUAUUGUUGGGAUGCACUGACAGGUGCUAACACCAUUCCAGACAUAGUGUAUACCCUAACCUCACAACUGCACCAGUAAUUGGUCCAGCCUGCACUGUGGGUUGCUAUCUGGUCACAUAUUAGCAUGAAUGUCCUGUGAAAUCAGUCUCCAGAAUGGUGAAGAUAGCAUGGAGUUGGUUUACAGACUGAAAUGUAUAGAUUAUUUUGAUAGGAAUAAUAUUUCUCCUUCCUCCUCAAUCUCCGAUGUUGUGGCUUUUCGUCACAUCUAUUAACAUCUCCGUGUUCUGUUCAAGCAGGGCAGAAUUAUCUACACACGUGAUAGGGCAGCCCAGAGAAGAACAAAAUCCUGUUUGCUCUAACAUCCUGCAAGCAUGGAUGGGAUGGUGGUGUCUGGAACCGGCAGUUGCCUUUCCUGGAUUGCUAAAUGCCAAACCAAGACCAAAGUAUUUCUGCAAAGUGCCACGAAAGCUCAAAAUCCCCCAAAUCAGUCCUGAAGCUAUAAAUGAAGAAGUAAUCAUCAUUAGUUACUUCCAAAUAUUUAGCUACAGGUAAAACUUUUGUGACUUUCUUAAGGCUGAUAUCCAAAGUGCCAUGCUUGCUGUUCUAACUUGCUCAUGGCAGUAGCUCUCUUCAACUUCCUUUAUCUAUUAGAAGCCCUUCAUAGCCUGUUCUAGUCAGGAGGGCACCAGAGGAUCACCCUGUGAAGCACAAUACUGCUUCUGCCCCCAGGUAUGUGUGACAUGCUUCCUGUUUCUGCAUGAAGGACUUUGGAUCCCCGGCACAAUAUGCUAUCUUCACCUGUUUGUAAAGCAAACAAGAUCACUGUGAAACUAGUUAUCUAUUGUAUUUGUGUUAACUAUCUUCUUGGUGAAAUUGUUUGCCUUCCUUGCAAUGUUUGUUCUUCUACUAUGCUAGUACUACAGAUGCUUGUUUCACUCAUGGGCAUAGCCAUGGGGUUGCAAGGGGAGCAACUGCCUCUCCUAAAUGAAGUAAAUAAAUAAAAACGCUUAACUAACUGACCAAUUGCAUUACAGAUGACUUGGUUCUGUCUCCACAACAUAAAGCCUGCCCACCCUAAAAUAAAUUCUAGCUACGCCCAUGGUUUCACUGUGUAUAUUUUUUACCAUUAAUAUGAGUUACACGUUAUACCCUACAUAAAAAGUUUCCAUGUCUGUCGCUGGUGAUCUUGGGGUACUGAAGAAAUUUAGAGUUAAAAACUGGCAGCUGAUAAUACAAGGUUUGAUACAACAGCACCGAACUAAUUUGGUAUCAAUUAACCACUUCUGGUGUGUAUCAUCUCAUUCUUUUUAAAAAAAUUAUUUAGAUUUUCAGGUUUACAAUCCUAAACUAAGACAAUUUCCAUAAGUUCCCUUUGACUUCCCUCCUCCCCUUUUGUAGUUCCUCAUGUUAACUUUUUCUCUUGCCUCUUCUCUGUUAAUCCAAUUCUAUUAAAUCUUCAGUAAAACCAUAAUUUUAAUUGUUUACAAUGAUUUUUUAAGCAGCCUCACGUUACUACACUGGACUGGCCAUUUUCUUGCUCAUUUCUUGUGAUCCAGUUAAACAGCUCUUAUAAAAGAAUGACCAUUGAUUCUCAGUUGAUGGGACACAAAUGGGGAGAGUACAACCAUACCUUGGAAGUUGAAUGGAAUCUGUUCCGGAACUCCAUUCAACUUCCAAAAUUUUUGAAAACCAAAUUGCGGCUUCUGAUAGGCUGCAGGAAGCUCCUGCUGCCCAUCAUAAGUCCCAUCAGACGUUGUGGGUUCCAAAAGAACAUUUGCAAACUGGAACAAUCACUUCUGGGUUUGCGGCGUUUGGGAGCUAAAACGUCUGAGUUCCAGGGCGUUCGGGAUUUGAGGUACGACUGUACUGUUGUGUCCUGGUUGCAGGCUUCACAUGGACAUCUGGUUGGGCAUUGUGAGAACAGGAUGCUGGACUAGAUGGGCCUUUGGUCCAAUUCAGCAGGGCUCUUCUUAAGGUUAUGAUUCAUGAGUCAUCAUGAUUCAUGGAUAAGUCUAUCAAUGGCUACUAGCCAUUAUGGCUGUGUAUUAUCCAUGGGGGAGCCCACAGGAGAAGGUCAAGGGUUCACUUACAUUACAAUAAAGUAGUACAUUUAGUAGUAAGCACACUCACAUCCUGAGGUUUAGAGUGAUCUCUGAGAUCGCUCUUAUUGAGGAUGGAUGUCACGCCAGGACAGCACUUUUCUGGAAAAGAGCUUUCCUGGACGAGCAGACAGCUCAUCUCCAUGCUGCUUGUUCUGAUGUAGUGAUGCUGCUUCUGUAAACGUUACAAGAUUUGGAAACCCUAGAAAUACAAUGACAAUAUAAACAGAGGUGUUGUGGUCCUCGGGUGGUGAGUUUGGGGUGUUCCUGGACCUGCUCCUGCUUUUUGAGAGGUAGGUGGGGACAGUGGCCAAAAACAGAAACAAAAAGUGCUGACAUGGUUCUCAGGAAAUGGGUAGCAAAAAUCGCUUUCUUGGGAAACAGAAACUUACUUGCUACAGGAUUGAUCAGUUGAAAGUAGAAAGGAAAAGUACAGUGUUUUCCUGUAUUAGGUUGUUAGAGAAAGCAAAGAAGCAGAGCUGUUGCUCUUUCUUUAGCUAUGGAUAUCUGCAACUACUUCAAGAAGCAGAAGAUAGCUAGAAGGCCUCAGACACAUACCCGAGGACUGCCCAUGGCACCAGAAUUUUGGUUCACCUCAAGAGACCGGUGUGGGUAUCAGCCAUAAUGCAGUCUAGGACAUAUUCCCCUUUGCCUUCCUCCUCCCUGCUCUGGCCCUCUUGUCUCCAUUGAAUGCUACAUGACAUGAACGCAAGCAUCCUGGCUUUAACUGCAGCAGAACAGCAAGGCAAGACGGCAUAUUCAAACUUCAAAAAGGAGUCCCUGAUACAGGCCUGUUGCUAAAGCGCACUGCCUGGCUAGAGGUUAAUUUCUCCCCAUUAUGUAUCAUUCAUAACAAGGCUAAGGGUAGAUGAAGGGUUGUUUAUCUAAAAAUUGUUAAGUCAGCACAAGUCGUGCUGCACAUCUUCCCUGGGGCAAGGAGAAGAGCCAUAAAAAUUUGGGGCCCUACCAUUUUCUCAGGUAAGCAAGGAGACAUUCUCACCUUUCAUUUGGAUGUCAUUAAAACCACUCCCGCACACUCCCACAGGUAGACACAUCUGUGAGAGGUAAAAGCAUAUCCAGGAAAUCUGUUUUUGAAAUGUUAAUUAGCCUUUUUGAGCUCCACCUGGUUCCUCUUUCUAGGUGCUCUCACAAAGGCAGCUUUCAUUGGACUGAAGGCCCCAAAGUUCUGGAGGAGGUCCUGGUGCCUCAGGUUUGGAACAUAUCCCAGAUGGAUGAACCUUGCAGGCAUGAGGCAUCCCACUCCUGCUUUUAAUCAAGAGCUCCUCCACAUCUUUUCAUCCACCCGGCAGCCAGGCGUUUCCCAAUCUGAGCCAAGAGAAGUAUAUCUUUACAACCCAUUUCUGUCUCUGGGAAUUUGUAUGACACUUGGUUGUACUCCAAACCUUCCAUUUUUCCUUUUUCUUGUAUGGAAUUCUUAAAUUCUUCCACUUAGAGUUAUGAAUGUGUUAGGGCGAUAAUCAAAUGC